rnacentral:misc_RNA from 1 species
UCUCCGUUGGUGAACCAGCGGAGGGAUCAUUACCGAGCUUACAACUCCCAAACCCCUAUGUGAACGUUACCAAACUGUUGCCUCGGCGGGAAAUUCAUGCCCCGGGCGCGUCGCAGCCCCGGACCAAGGCGCCCGCCGGAGGACCAACCAAAACUCUUUUGUAUGUCCCUCGCGGACUUUUAUAAUUCUGAACCAUCUCGGCGCCCCUAGCGGGCGUUUCGAAAAUGAAUCAAAACUUUCAACAACGGAUCUCUUGGUUCUG